rnacentral:rRNA from 1 species
CUACGGGAGGCUCCAGUGGGGAAUAUUGCACAAUGGAGGAAACUCUGAUGCAGCAACGCCGAGUGGAGGAUGACACUUUUCGGAGCGUAAACUCCUUUUAUAUAGGAAGAAGAUGACGGUACUAUAUGAAUAAGCGCCGGCUAACUCCGUGCCAGCAGCCGCGGUAAUACGGAGGGCGCAAGCGUUACUCGGAAUCACUGGGCGUAAAGAGCGUGUAGGCGGAUUAAAAAGUCAGAAGUGAAAUCCUAUAGCUUAACUAUAGAACUGCUUCUGAAACUCUUAAUCUAGAAUAUGGGAGAGGUAGAUGGAAUUUCUGGUGUAGGGGUAAAAUCCGUAGAGAUCAGAAGGAAUACCGAUUGCGAAGGCGAUCUACUAGAACAUUAUUGACGCUGAGACGCGAAAGCGUGGGGAGCAAACAGGAUUAAUACCCCCGUAGUC